rnacentral:sRNA from 1 species
CGCCGGCCUGCAGGCGCCAUGGUUUUCCUCACCGCGCAGCUCUGGCUGCGGAAUCGCGUCACCGACCGCUACUUUCGGAUCCAAGAGGUGCUGAAGCACGCCAGGCAUUUCCGGGGGAGGAAAAAUCGUUGCUACACGUUGGCGGUCAGAACCGUGAUUCGAGCCUUUGUGAAAUGCACCAAAGCCCGAUACCUGAAGAAAAAGAACAUGAGGACCACGGAGUCUCGCUCUGUCGCCCAGGCUGGAGGGCUAUGGCGCGAUCUAGGCUCAAUGCAACCUCCGCCUCCCGGGUUCAAGCGAUUUUCCCGCCCCAGU